CCUACGGGUGGCAGCAGUGGGGAAUAUUGCACAAUGGGGGAAACCCUGAUGCAGCGACGCCGCGUGAGCGAUGAAGUCUUUCGGUAUGUAAAGCUCUAUCAGCAGGGAAGAAGAUGACGGUCCUUGACUAAGAAGCCCCGGCCAACUCCAUGCCCGCAGCCCCGGUACUACGUAGGGGCCGAGCGUUAUCCGGAUUUACUGGCUGUAUGGGGAGCGUUGACGGGGAGGAAGUCCGGAUGCGAAAGCCCCGGGCCCACCCGCGGGACUGCAUUUGAAACUGUGUGGCUGGAGUGUCGGCGAGGCGGGAGGAAUGUCUGGUGUAGCGGUGAAAUGCGUAGAUAUUAGGAGGAACACCGGUUGCGAAGGCGGCCUGCUGGACGAUGACUGACGUUGAGGCGCGAAAGCGUGGGGAUCAAACAGGAUUAGAUACCCGAGUAGUC
rnacentral:rRNA from 1 species